UGGGGAAUAUUGCGCAAUGGGGGAAACCCUGACGCAGCAACGCCGCGUGAAGGAAGAAGGCCUUCGGGUUGUAAACUUCUUUGAUUGGGGACGAAGGAAGUGACGGUACCCAAAGAACAAGCCACGGCAAACUACGUGCCAGCAGCCGCGGUAAUACGUAGGGGGCGAGCGUUGUCCGGAAUUACUGGGCGUAAAGGGCGUGUAGGCGGCCUGUUAAGUCAGGGGUGAAAGACCGGGGCUCAACCCCGGGGGUGCCUCUGAAACUGGCGGGCUUGAGUGCUCUAGAGGGCAGUGGAAUUCCCGGUGUAGCAGUGAAAUGCGUAGAGAUCGGGAGGAACACCAGUGGCGAAGGCGGCUGCCUGGGGAGUCACUGACGCUGAGGCGCGAAAGCUAGGGGAGCAAACAGG
rnacentral:rRNA from 1 species